rnacentral:rRNA from 1 species
UACGGGGGGAGCAAGCGUUGUUCGGAUUUACUGGGCGUAAAGGGCGCGUAGGCGGUCGUGACAAGUCACUUGUGAAAUCUCCGGGCUUAACUCGGAACGGUCAAGUGAUACUGUCGGACUAGAGUACAGAAGGGGCAACUGGAAUUCUCGGUGUAGCGGUGAAAUGCGUAGAUAUCGUAAGGAAGACCAGUGGCGAAGGCGGGUCUCUGGACAGUUCCUGACGCUGAGGCACGAAGGUCAGGGGAGCAAACGGG